CCUACGGGAGGCAGCAGUGAGGAAUAUUGGUCAAUGGACGCAAGUCUGAACCAGCCAUGCCGCGUGCAGGAAGACGGCUCUAUGAGUUGUAAACUGCUUUUGUACGAGGGUAAACGCAGAUACGUGUAUCUGUCUGAAAGUAUCGUACGAAUAAGGAUCGGCUAACUCCGUGCCAGCAGCCGCGGUAAUACGGAGGAUUCAAGCGUUAUCCGGAUUUAUUGGGUUUAAAGGGUGCGUAGGCGGUCGGAUAAGUUAGAGGUGAAAUCCCGAGGCUCAACUUCGGAAUUGCAUCUGAUACUGUUCGGCUAGAGAGUAGUUGAGGUAGGCGGAAUGUAUGGUGUAGCGGUGAAAUGCUUAGAGAUCAUACAGAACACCGAUUGCGAAGGCAGCUUACCAGGCUACAUCUGACGUUGAGGCACGAAAGCGUGGGGAGCGAACAGGAUUAGAUACCCGAGUAGUC
rnacentral:rRNA from 1 species